CUGCUGCUCUGAUGGGGCACUAGUGUGCCUGUGGCCUCAGCUGCCUUUUCCUUUAGGUCUCCACAUUCUACUCUGUUUCCCUUUGCAUGCAGGAUGCUUACUUGUUUGGGUCCAGAUUCUGGCAGGAAGCCUGCAGCAUGCUCAGACUGGAUUGUUGGAUGAUUGUCUAAUAAAGUUACUGUAAGCAACGGUGAGAGCAGAAGUUAGGGUGAGUAUGAUGACUCUGGGAGAAUGGUCAUGAGAGCCGUGAGCACCCAGGACUUGCAGAGGCGACGCAAAAAGCCACACCCAGGACCUCCAGCAGUCCACAGCAGCCAAACAGGAAGGAAGCCGUGGAAUAUUCCAAUCCCAUUUUUCAUCCAUCCACAAGCUCCUGCUGGAACCUGCCUUGGCCCAACCGGGAGGCAGGGGCCAACGAGCCCAUGGGUGCUGUCCCCUCAGGUCAGCCUCGGCUGAGAAUGAUGCAACCUGGAUCUGAUUAAUACCAGAAAGACAGCUGUUGUCUUUUUUUGCUUGUGUGAGCGGAUGUGCAGGCAGUGGAGCCAGAACAUCCCCUGGUCCACAGAGGCUGGAAAGGAUGAACGCCUGGACAUAGGAGGCACAGGGGUCACGGAAUACUAAGAGGGUAACACAGACCCCUUCUUCAAGACCCCCAGGAGGCAAGUACGAGAGCUCCCGAGACUCACAAAGAGAAGAAAGCCCCAGGGCUCUGCACCCUCUGCCCACCUCUCUCUGUGGCCUCUUUUGUAGGCAUUCGAGUUGCUCGACGGCAUCCAGGCACAGUGCCUUAACUUCACUCACUUUUGCUGAAACUCUGCUUGGCCCUCAGGAGACAGCAGGGCACAGCAGACAGGAACAGGAGCAGCUGUCCUGGAGCAAAUGACCUGCUUACCCUGCACCUCAGCUUCCUGAUCUGAGCAGUAGGAGAAGUAACCGCACCUCCCCAAUCAGACUUGCCGCAUGUGCCCGAGUGCUUAGAACAAAGCCUCUGUGGGUUUGCUACUCUUACACUUUCUUGAGAAUCAGAGAAAGAAUAGAAUAAAAUCGCCAUGUCCCAAGCCCAAGUCAACGGCAACCUGUGAGUACAAGAGGGAAUGGCCAAGCGACCAGGUACACCUAUCCUGUCCCCAGGCCUGAGGUUCCUGGGCAUCCAUCAGGACCCAAUGUUGAAUUAACACGAUUCAGAUCAAAGAUUGGGCUCGGACACAGCCCCCAGUAGCCCCUGUGUCCUGUCACGGGACAGGCAAGAGACUGUCAUCUAGCCAGUCACAAGGUCAUCCUCCAUCCCACAAUUGCUUGUCCUGUUGGGAGACCCUGGCAGCCUCACGGAGGCAGCUCACUCUAGGCUUAUAGGAGAUCCUGGGGACCCCUCUGCCCGGCCAGUUCUGGAAUUGGGGAGAAGUGAGUCGGUAGAGACCUUUUUGUAAGAGGAAGGAGCCAUGGAGGCACCUCUGUCCUCACUCCUCAGUGCCAGUUACUCAGCAAAUACGUAUGCAGGGAAAACAAGCUGAACUGCACCUGCUCUGGACCUUGCAAAGUGAGGACACAGCUCCCGGGGGCUUCCUGGUGCAUCCUGUGGCUCAUACCAGACACAAACUUCUUUCUGGCUUACUGACCGUGGUUUCUCUGACCACCUGUCUUCCUGGGCCUCCCACCCUGCCCCUGGCAGUAAUCUCCUUUGCCAGCUCUUCCUGCGCUGCCAGACCUUAGAGGAGGGGGCUGGGGGCUCUCCUGGAGCCUGCUGUCCUCUGGUUAUCUUGCACAUUCUUACAGCCUUAAAUAUCACCUGUGCGAGGUGAUUUCUGAAGCUCCGCUUUCAACUCCAGAGUCGCAGAGCUCCGGACUCUUGCUUGAUAUUUGGGUGUCUCCCAUGUAUCUCAGUGCUUUCACUCCCUGCCCACCCCCAUCAUCCUCUCAACCCCUGACCUUAGCAUCUAGGCUCAUCCAGGUCUGCUUUCUUUCCCUCACUGCUUGCAUCUAACCUACUCCUGCCAGUCAAUUCCCACUGAGUAACUCAGAUCCCCCUCACUUCUCUCCGCCCCGCAGGCCACCCAGUCACCAUCCUCAGCUGUCUGGACUUCUGCAAUAGCCCCUCAGGAGGGUGUUCUUCUGCUUCCAUUUCCAUUUCCCUCCCACCCUCUCUCCAAACAGCAGCAGUCGAAGGAACUUUUGAAGAAAAAUUAAGUUGCACUAUCUUAUUCCUCAUUUGAAGCUUUCAGGGAUGCUCUCUGUAUGUGGUGUAAAAUCCAGCUCCUCUCCCCAUGCAAGCCCUGCAUGCUGGAGCCCUCACCUGCCCCGACUCUUCUCUCCAACGUGCCCCACCCUCGUGAAUCAUCUGCAUUCCCUGGACCCCUCCCCAGCUGCUCAGACUCCUGGAUUCUUCUCCUGUGCCCAGGUCUCAGCUUAAACGUCACCUCCUUGUUUGCAUUGUCCAGGACCAGCACCAGCCGGGGAGAUACACGGAGGCGCUCGAUAGACUUGCUCACCUGUUAGAGGCUGCACAGUCCCACACGGGUGUCUGCAGGCUGGGAGACUGGGAGAUCAGUUAGCUGCUCUGUCCAGGAAGCUGAAGCCGCAGAACUCAGGGGCAGGGAUGCAGCCCUCUAGAGGCUGAGACCUAAGAGGCCCUGGUGGAUGCUGGUGUGAGUCGGGGUUCAAAGGAUGAGGCAUCUGGAGCUUUCUGUCCAAUAGUGAAAGCAGCAGGGACAACUGUGUCAGCUCUAGAAGGGUCUGGUUGGUGUGAGCAGGCACGAGCUGCCCUCCCUUCCACUGUUCUACCCUAUCAGGGGCCCCGGCCUGGUAGACGGUUCUGCCCACAUUCGGGGCGGGUCUCCCACUCAGUGUACUGAGCCACUUGCAGGCAUCUCCAGGAGCAGCCUCAUGGGCACACCCAGGAAUGCUCUCAAUCCGGCAAGGUGACAGCCAGGAUUGGCGGCUCCCCGGGCUGUCCUAAACCUCCCCAUUGUUCCCGAUGCCACACAGUGCUUGUGGCACUUGCAGAGAUCAUAAGUCGAUAUGCUUACCUUCAUUGGUUUUCUUGAGUAUUAUCUAUUGUGUUCUCUGGACUCUAAGCUCAAAAAGACAGGAAUAAUGAGUGUCUUGGUUCCUACAGGGCCUCUUCCAGCAUCAGGCAUGUCUGAGGGCAUCUUAUCAAUACAUCUGGGGAGAAAGAUGGGGAAGGGAGGAGGAGAGGGGAGCAUGGGGAAGGAGGGAGGGAAGUGUUUUAGAGCUCAGGAGGGAAGUGGAGGCAACAAGAAGCACUUAAACAUAUUGUGGUUCUUCUGUUGUUUAAGUAUCUACCUUGUGGCCGGUGCUUUGUGAAUUAUUUCAGCUGUUUUAAUAACCCUUAGCACAACUGUUAAAAUUUCCUUGUAUUUGUAAGAAAAAAGUAGCUCUGCAGACUUAAGGAGCUUGCCCCAAAUCUCACACUGGUUCUGCAUGUGAGGGGCCCAGGCUGUCCCCUCCACUUCCUAAGGCCAGUCUCCAGGGUCUAAGUAGCCAAUGAGCUGCCUCCCAGGCCUUGUGGCUCACAACCGCUGGCUACUUUCAAUUUUAAUUUUUGUCGGUUGCUCUUUGGAGGAACUUAUUAAGAAGCUCCACAUUUGGGCUAAAGUAGAAGAUAGAAUUGCUGCAGUGGUUCCCCGUGAAGCAGACGGAUGACCUUGUCCCACCGGACUCCGGGAGAAGCUGACACUGAUUGGCGAGUUCUCCUGAGGAAGGCGGGGCCAGUUUCCAUGGUGUCAGCACAACAACACUCCAAACUAAGGCUGCCUCAGGUGCAGAGCUCUUGGAUUUCACACACACAAGACAGUAUCUAAGUCACUACGUUGAGCUCCAAUUUCUAACCUUCCUGCCUCAGCCUCCCGAGUAAUUACAGGU